ensembl:lncRNA
AACCGGCUGCCUGGGGAAGCCAGAGCCUCGGCCGCCUGACGUUUGCGGGGUGUGCCUUGUGGUGACCUAGUCAAAGUUCUGCAGGUCAGGAGAUGCAUCUAGAGUCAGAAGAGCAACUUGAAGCACGUUGGAAGGACCAGCAGAAGCAUCAUCUGCGCGCACAGGAGUCCUUCAUGGGACUGCUGGGCUCUUCAGAAGCUCUGGCUCACAGUGACCAAGCUGGACAGUUGCAGAUGCAGAAGUGGGCCACCAUGUUGCAAGACACAUCCAUUGACUGCAGUGAGUUCCAGUGAAUUUAAAGAAACAGUCUCUACUCUUCAUUUUCUCCUUUUUUCCCUUUUUGGAGCAUAACAUUUAAGGAUUAGGACAUUUAAAAGCAACCACAUACCCCAGGCAAUUUAUAAAGUCAUUACACAUGCCCAAGGGAAAGAC